UCCAACUGCUCUUCCUCCGUCCAGCCCUAUACCACUAUAAUAUGCAAAAUAGCAAAUUAUUUGAAGAAAUAUAAAUCUCAUAUUUGAAUUAAACUACUUAAUGCCUUAAAAAAGUUUCAUCUCAAGGAUAUCAUUAAGGAGAGAUGCAGAAAAGUGGGGAUGAAGGCAAUUUGAACAUUGCAAGGCCUUUAAUUCAAUGAGCUCAGUUCCUCCUGAUAUUUGGCUGUGGCUUCUACCUAACCAUUUGCACAUCUCUUCAUGAAACAGCAACCAUAAUACAUGAUAUAAAAUACGACCAUGGCAAAGCGGAGCCAUUCGUAAUGGCAAAGAACACCUGCAUUCAAUUCUUUCUCAUCUCAUAUAUUUAUAUAUAUAUUAUAUAAUCCACACUUAACUACACAUAUUUUAAGUCAUUUUACAAGCUCUUUGACUUCAGCAUUAAAGGAGUAUUCUAAUUGACAGUGAUCAAAAACACCUAAGAUCUCCUUUACAUAUCAAGCUUUCCAUGCACAAAGCUUAUAAAGUAAAUGCAUUUAAUCUUUAAAAAAUAAUAAUUCCUGCUCUUGCAAGAAGUCCAAGUGUGUUGAUAAUGAAGAAAUGAGGGGCUUACAUAGUUCAAACAGAUACAUGUGCAAAGUAAAUCCUGCUGAGAGUAUCUAGAAAAAUGCAAAUGGUGACGGAAGAUGAUUUCCUUUUCACUCCCUUAGACCCAUCUUUUAAUAAGUUGGUCUUUCUUCUUGCCAACCACAAGGGAGAAUACCAUGCGAAGACUGAGAGGUAUGCUGUCACAAGCCAAAGACCUUCAAAGAUUUCCAGCAAACCACCAGAAUCUCAGAAAAGAGUAUGGAACACACAUUUCCUGGAGAUCCUCAGAUAAAAACAAUUCUGAAGACACCUUGCUAUCAGACUUUUGGCCUGCAGAACUGUAAGAAAAUAAAUGUCUGCUGUUCUGCUGUU